rnacentral:rRNA from 1 species
CCUACGGGGCGCAGCAGUGAGGAAUAUUGGUCAAUGGCCGGAAGGCUGAACCAGCCAAGCCGCGUGAAGGACGAAGGUGCCAAGCAUUGUAAACUUCUUUUGUCAAGGGACAAAAUCAGGCUCGAGAGCCUGACCGAGGGUACUUGAAGAAAAAGCAUCGGCUAACUCCGUGCCAGCAGCCGCGGUAAUACGGAGGAUGCGAGCGUUAUCCGGAUUUAUUGGGUUUAAAGGGUGCGCAGGCGGAGGUGCAAGUCAGCGGUCAAAUUGCGGGGCUCAACCCCGUACUGCCGUUGAAACUGCAUCCC